GUGGAAUGCAUGUCUAGUGCAUGUGAUGAUCAUUAGGACGAGUAGAAAUUGGAUUUUUUUACGAACGGAUGCUAAUGACAAUUGGGCUUAAACAGGUGUCAAUGGUGAUUAGGCUGCAAAGUGGGUGCUAAUGACAAUUAGGCUUAAACAGGUGCCAAUGGUGAUUAGGCUGCAAAGUGAGUGCUAAUGACAAUUGGGCUUAAACAGGUGCCAAUGGUGAUUAGGGGGCAAAGUGGGUGCUAAUGACAAUUGGGCUUAAACAUGUGCCAAUGGUGAUUAGGCUGCAAAGUGGGUGCUAAUGACAAUUAGGCUUAAACAGGUGCCAAUGGUGAUUAGGCUGUGGGUGGUGCCAAACGAGGUUGGGCUUUUAAGGGUACCAAUAACGAUUGGAUUUUGAGUUGGUGCCAAUAACGAUUGGACUUUCAGGGUGCCAAUAAUGAUUGGACUUUUGAGUUGGUACCAAUAACAAUUGGAUUUUUGAGGUGUGCCAAUAACGAUUGGACUUUUAAUGGGAUAUCAAUGACAAUUGGAUUUUUUGUGGAUGC
rnacentral:lncRNA from 1 species